UGGGGAAUUUUGGACAAUGGGCGCAAGCCUGAUCCAGCAAUGCCGCGUGCAGGAUGAAGGCCUUCGGGUUGUAAACUGCUUUUGUACGGAACGAAAAGGCUCUGUCUAAUACAGAGAGCCGAUGACGGUACCGUAAGAAUAAGCACCGGCUAACUACGUGCCAGCAGCCGCGGUAAUACGUAGGGUGCAAGCGUUAAUCGGAAUUACUGGGCGUAAAGCGUGCGCAGGCGGUCUUGUAAGACAGAGGUGAAAUCCCCGGGCGCAACCGGGGAACGGCCUUUGUGACUGCAAGGGUGGAGUGCGGCAGAGGGGGAUGGAAUACCGCCUGUAGAAGUGAACUGCGUAGAUAUGCGGAGGAACAACGACGGCGAAGGCAAUCCCCUGUGCCUGCACUGACGCUCAUGCACGAAAGCGUGGGGAGCAAACAGGAUUA
rnacentral:rRNA from 1 species